GUAAAAGCAACAACAGCCUACAAAGGAAACAUGAGUGCAUUGUGCUGUUCACAUCACGUCAACUCUUGUUCUCUCUCAUGAUCCUCUGAGAGUGAACCGCCAACGGUGCUGGAUUUACUUGGCCCCGAGCAGGGAGAAGACCCACCGACCCGCCCCAAACACGCUGGGGUAGAAUGGGCCGGAGAUGUCUGAGCUUAACACAGAAAAAGUUGCAUUUGCAUGUGUUGUCAAACUCAGCAGUGCUACUGCAGGGAGCUCCAACUGCCAUGCAAAUAGGAUGCAAAUGGAUUCAAAGGAAGGAGGAUGAAGAGCGGGUUAAAGGGUGAGCUACAGACAGUAUGUUUAUAUCUGUCAGGACAUAGAGUAUGAGUCACAAUGUUAUCUACAUCAGACGAGUAUGACCCAGAGAGUAGCGGCUAACACUAUUUAUGGGAAACUGGAUCUCUUCCCCUUGGUGGGAAAUUCUCUAAAAUAAAUGUGUGCCGUGCACGUGGGCUUGUACGUACACGUGUAUGCGUGUGUUUGUGUGUCAACACGUGUGUUAGUGACUACUGUGUCCCGAAUAAAAUGUGAACGUCGGUUUAAGCUAGCAGCAGCCACACAGCUCUGGGAGUGACACUAUGACAUCACAAUAGUGAGGACAAUGAAGGUCUGUGAGGCAGAGGAGCCGGGGCGUGGCCUGUUUGGACAGAGGCUUCUCACACUGGAAGGACCAGAGCAGCUGUCUGAACCGCUGUGUGUCUCCCCGUCUCUCUCAAACACUGGAACGCAGGGAUGGAGGUGGAGUGGGAGGAGACCAAGAGAACUAGAUGGCUUGCACAGACUAAGAGACAAAGGUCCAAUGUACAGACAGGCUCUUGCUCGCUCUCUGUAGAAACACACAGGCACACACACGCAUGCAUAUAUGCUGUCAGAAAUACAGCAUGCGUGUGUAUAUGUUGUGGUGAAAAGUGUUGGCUCAAAACAAUUAUUUCUAAUUGAAGUAUUUGGUCUCCACAAUUCUUUAUUUCACAGUUAUAUUACAGAAUAGUUGUUUUUUUAUUCAGGAUUUUAACUCUCCUUGUGCAAACUGCUCCAUUCCCCAAAUGUGUAGUGUACCUCCAUCCAAAUGUGUAGUGUACCUCCAUCCAAAUGUGUAGUGUACCUCAAUCCAAAUCUGUAGUGUACCUCCAUCCAAAUGUGUAGUGUACCUCAAUCCAAAUAUGUAGUGUACCUCAAUUCAAAUGUGUAGUGUACCUCCAUCCAAAUGUGUAGUGUACCUCAAUCCAAAUGUGUAGUGUACCUCAAUCCAAAUGUGUAGUGUACCUCAAUCCAAAUAUGUAGUGUACCUCAAUUCAAAUGUGUAGUGUACCUCAAUCCAAAUGUGUAGUGUACCUCCAUCCAAAAAUGUAGUGUACCUCAAUCCAAAUGUGUAGUGUACCUCAAUCCAAAUGUGUAGUGUACCUCAAUCCAAAUGUGUAGUGUACCUCCAUUCAAAUGUGUAGUGUACCUCCAUCCAAACUGCUGUUUUCAGCCAUUUCCACAUUUUAAUAGGAUUAUUGGGCUUGCUUUCUCCCUGCUCAUUGCAUUUACACAAAACCUGGUCCUUUUCUCUAUUCAAGCUGGUAUAAUGAUUGAUUACAGACACCUGCAAUUCAUCACAGGUAAGUUCUAUUCCAAGAUAAAUGAGAAUCCUCUGCUUCCUAAUGACUGCACAUCUAGAAUUUGGCAAUAAUAUUUUCUGAGACAUUUUAGGGUUUAUUUUUUAGAAUACGCAAGUUUUAGUAAAUUAUCCUAACCUUUUUUGUUCAAAUACAAAGAAAUACAUUAUGAAGCAAAAUAUUUUUGGAUACAUGCACACUAUAUAUGCACACUAACACUAUCCAUAAAAACUUCAGUGUUUGCCUCCUGCCCAUCUUUGCCAGCAGUGUUUACCGCACCCUCUAAAUGAGAAUUCCAUACACUUCAACAACCCAUAAAGGUUUAUUGGCCAGAACACAGAGGAGCAAAUACAUUCACUACUGAGCUGGAUUUCACAAACAUGGAAAAGGCGAGGGGUAUCUGUGACUGGUCUAAGGGAGGGGGAUGUUUAUCCACAACGAUUCAUGACAGGGAACAACCACCUGUGUAGUAAAAUGGGCUUUGACUGGCGUUUAAAGCAACGCAAUAAGUGAUUGUGCAUACAGUGGAUAAGCAUCAUUGAAUGUGUAUAAGCUCUCUGUUUCAACACAAAGCCCACCUGCCCUUCAGUUUCUCUUUAAUGAGGACAGACUGAACACAAGCACCCGGUACAAUACACCCGGCCUUACAGGCGCCUACAUCUAUUCAGCCUCUCAGUCAUCUACACAAAGUCUUUCAAUAGGAUUACAUGGCUCCAUCUGUUUUUUAAGCUCACAUGGUAAUCAUUAGCAUUAUGAAUUUGCUUAUAGGGCAGGAAUGCCCAGGUAGCAGCUUUAUGUGACGGUUGUUAGAUGAAUGUGGAGAUGGUGGUGAGGUUAACAUACUAAUGGUAGUGUGUUGGUAGUGAGGUUAACAUGGUGAUGAUGGUAAGGUUAAUGUGUGGAUGGUGGUGAGGUUAGUAUGUUGAUGGUGGUGAGGUUAACAUGAUGAUGGUGGUGAGGUUAACAUGAUGAUGGUGGUGAGGUUAAUGUGUGGAUGGUGGUGAGGUUAGUAUGUUGAUGGUGGUGAGGCUAACAUGAUGAUGGUGGUGAGGCUAACAUGAUGAUGGUGGUGAGGUUAACUUCAUGAUUGUGGUGAGGUUAAUGUGUUGAUGGUGAAGAAGUAAAGUGGUGAUGGUGGUGAGGUUAACGUGAUGAUGGUAGUGAAGUCAAGGAGUUAUGUUGUGUGGUGAAGUGGUGAUGGUUGUGAAGUUAAUGUACUGAUGGUGAGAUUAACAUGAUGAUGGUGGUGAGGUUAAUGUGUUGAUGGUGGUGAGGUGAAUGUGAUGUUGGUGAGGUUAACAUGAUGAUGGUGGUGAGGUUAAUGUGUUGAUGGUGGUGAGGUAAACAUGGUGACGUUGGUGAGAUGAAUGUGAUGAUGAUGGUGAGUGAUGACGGUGAUGAGGUUAACGUGGUGAUGGUGGUGAAGUUAAAGUGAUGUUGGUGAGGUUAGUAUGUUGAUGGUGUUGAGGUAAACAUGUUGAUGGUGGUGAGGUUAACGUGGUGAUGGUGGUGAGGCUAACAUGAUGAUGGUGGUGAGGUUAAUGUGUUGAUGGUGGUGAAGUAAAGUGGUGAUGGUGGUGAGGUUAACGUGAUGAUGGUAGUGAGGUCAAGGAGUUAUGUUGUAAAGUGGUGAUGGUUGUGAGAUUAAUGUACUGAUGGUGAGAUUAACAUGAUGGUGUUGGUGAGAAUAACGUGGUGAUGGUGGUGAGGUUAAUGUGAUGUUGCUGAGGUUAACACGUUAAAGGUGGUGAGUUUAACAUGAUGAUGGUGGUGAGGGUAAUGUGUUGAUGGUGGUGAGGUUAAUGUGAUGUUGCUGAGGUUAACACGUUAAAGGUGGUGAGUUUAACAUGAUGAUGGUGGUGAGGGUAAUGUGUUGAUGGUGGUGAGGUGAACAUGAUGAUGGUGGUGAGGUUAACGUGGUGAUGGUGGUGAGGUUAACAUGAUGGUGGUGAGGUUAACGUGGUUAUGAUGGUGAGAUCAAUAGUGGUCGGGUUAACACUGCAUUUGAGUCCUAAAAGUUUGUCUACUCACCUGGUCUCAGUAGACUACCAUAAGGCUUGACUCAUAUACCAGUUCCUACUGCAAGGUUACUACCAAUGCAGUUUAAAUAGCUUUCAUUUUGUGAAACUUUUUAUUUUAUUUAGCAGAAAUAUACUUGGCAGUAUACUUGGCUGUAAAUAUCCCAGAUGGACAUGGCCAUAGGAUGAGAACCAGG
ensembl:lncRNA